AGAGACCACACUGCAGGGAGCAUACAGAAAGAAAAUUAAGAGAUCAGAUGCAGCAGCAGCCGGAACCCACAGUUCACCUUGGUGCAUUCCUUUAUGAUGAAGACUUAUUGAUUCAUUAUAUGAGAAAGGAAAAAUGAGCAGAAACUACUGUAUGAUGUGCAGCUCACACCAGACAGCAACUUUAGGGUUAUCUUUCCAGUUCAGCAGUGCAACUCUAUGGAGUAGAAUUGAAAGGAGACUUUUCGCCAAUUGCAGGAAAUGGUCAUAAAAAAAUACCUGCUCACUGACAGAAUAAAGUCUCACUCUGUCACCUGGCUGGAGUUUAGUGACACGAUCUUAGCUCCCUGCAACCUCUGCCUCCUGAGUUCAAGUGAUUCUCCUACCUCAGCCUCCUGAGUAGCUGGAAUUACAGGUUCUUCUGCUUCCC
rnacentral:lncRNA from 10 species